ensembl:lncRNA
AAAUAAAGUAAAAUAAUAAAAUAAAAUAUUGUAUGGUAAGCCAUUCAAGGUGUCUGCCCAGGCAGGAGAAUCUAUAAAUGCUAAAAAACCUAGCAGUUGCCAGUUAAAAGUUUGAACACUACACUCAGCUCUGUUCAUGGAUCCCUGGAAAGGACAGGCUUGGAGUGGUGGUGAGGGUGUAGGUUGAAAGUUCAAAGGCUACUGAGGUUACAGUGAGUAGCAAAGCAGAGUACCUCCACUUCAAUUACAAAGUUCAAGAAGGCAAGAAACCCCCUGAAGACGGAAUUGAAACAGCAGAUGCCUCAGAGCUCUGACUGCUGACAAUGCUGAAAACAUGAAGAGACUCCGUUUUCUGUCUGGAUUGUUAUGGAGCAGACACUCUCGGUUUAUACCCUCCAGGGGAGAUGGAGAGAUGCUUUCUGUAAAUAAGAAUGAGUGACUUGAAGGUGAUCUGUUUAAAUAGUCAGCUUGGGUUGUCCUUACCUCUCAGGAAAACAAGCAGCCCCAUACAGCUGAAUGUCUUUUGGUGUUAUUAAGGAGAAUGACACCAGGGCUGUGAAGUUAGUCACUGACUUUACAUCUAUAUGUACCUGUUUUAUCUUGUUUUGCAAAUACUGUUUGGCUUCUUGUUUGUUGUUUGUUUUUUAAUAAAUCGAAGAUCUGUGGCAACCCUGCAUCAAGCCAGUAAUUUUUCUAGCAGCAUUUGCUUCCUUCCUGACUUUGUCACAUUUUGGUAAUUCUUGCACUAUUUCAAACCUUUUCAUUAUUUGUUAUGGUGAGCUGUGAUGUUACUAUUGUAACACCUAUCCACUGAUGUUACUACUAUAAUUGUUUGGGGGCACCACAAACUGUACCCAUGUCAGAUGACAAACUUAAUCAAUAAAUAUUUGUGUUCUGACUGCUCCACCAACAAGCCUUUCUCCAUCUCUCUCCCUUUACUAGGGCCUUCCUAUUCCCUGAGGCACAAUAAUACUGAGAUCAGGCCAAUUGUAACCCUUUAAUGGCAUCCAGGUGUUCAAGUGAAAGUCACACAUCUCUCACUUUAAGUCAAAAACUAAAAAUGAUUAAGUUUAAUGAUUAAGCUUAGUGAGGAAGGCAUGUCAAAUGCUGAGACAGGUCAAAAGCUGGGCCUCUUGCACCAAACAGUUAACCAAAUUGUAAAUGCAAAGG